AUGGCGUAAACAGCUGACGAAGGAAGACACAAGCGCGGAUGAUUUGAAACUUAGCCACCUCCAGAGAAGAGAGCUGGAAAAGUUUGUGACGGUGAAAAGAAAAAAUGGCAGCAGAGGCCGUGCUGCUCGAUUUACCCAUCAUCCACUGCACUUCCACGUCCAUCAAACCUCAUACGGUGACCUAAAUACUCUGACAACUCAAUCAGUCAAAGCGCAGUGACAUCAGUGCCACAAGGCAUUAUCAGCAGAUGAUGAACACACAAAAAAAGGAGCGAAUGGUGGGUGAAGACCUGAAGUGGCCUGCAGAGCCACUGUCCACAAGGCGCGGGGAGUCGGUUUUGUUUGAUGGGAGUUGUGUUCAAAGCCCUGCGGCUGGCGCCGAGUUCAACAUCUGCUCCUGUCACACUCGGGGAUGAGUGGCAGAGCGCCGUGGCGUGCUGGGCUGCAGCUCACAGCACACACGAGUACAGCCAUGGUGAGAGAGAAAAAAACAACUUCUACCGUACAUACUUCACAUGUUUGUGUCUCGGGUUGGGCUUCAUUUGAUGUGUGUCUUUGAUGGGAAUGGCAAAAUUUGAAAUAACAUUUUUAUGCUAGCUUGAGGCGGUUUUUGGCUUUGGGAGCGCAUUUUCCGAAUGAG